UACGUAGGGGGCAAGCGUUGUCCGGAUUUAUUGGGCGUAAAGCGCACGUAGGCGGCCAAGUCAGUCAGGUGUGAAAUACCUCGGCUCAACCGAGGAACUGCGCCUGAUACUGCUUGGCUUGAGGUCCGGAGGGGAGAGUGGAAUUCCGCGUGUAGUGGUGAAAUGCGUAGAGAUGCGGAGGAACACCGGUGGCGAAAGCGACUUUCUGGUCCUUAACUGACGCUGAGGCGCGAAAGCAUGGGGAGCGAACGGG
rnacentral:rRNA from 1 species